GGCCACCAAGGAAUAACAUUUACCUCCAAGAGAGUGCUGCACGUUUCUUUCAACCUAAGCCACUCUCUGGUCCAUGUUACUUCCCUUGUCCAGGUCGUCCAUACAAAGAUCUUGCAUUGCGUCCAUCAUCCAAUCCGUAUACUAUUCCCAAAUAACUAGAUAAACUAACCUUUAUGUUUUCAGGGUCUUGCCGUGGAAGAGUGUAUCUUGGCUAAGCCAGCUCAUCUUGGAACUUCCCCGUUCACAAGCAUGAAACCCAAACU
rnacentral:lncRNA from 1 species